rnacentral:rRNA from 1 species
UAGAGUUUGAUCAUGGCUCAGGACGAACGCUGGCGGCGUGCCUAAUACAUGCAAGUCGAACGCGUCCCGGUUGAUGAAGUUGAGUGCUUGCACUUAAUUGAUUCAACUUGGUGACGAGUGGCGAACUGGUGAGUAACACGUGGGUAACCUGCCCCGAAGCGGGGGAUAACAUUUGGAAACAGGUGCUAAUACCGCAUAACAACCAAAACCACCUGGUUUUGGUUUGAAAGACGGCUUCGGCUGUCACUUUGGGAUGGACCCGCGGCGUAUUAGCUAGUUGGUGAGGUAACGGCUCACCAAGGCGAUGAUACGUAGCCGACCUGAGAGGGUGAUCGGCCACAUUGGGACUGAGACACGGCCCAAACUCCUACGGGAGGCAGCAGUAGGGAAUCUUCCACAAUGGACGCAAGUCUGAUGGAGCAACGCCGCGUGAGUGAUGAAGGGUUUCGGCUCGUAAAACUCUGUUGUUGGAGAAGAACGGGUGUUAGAGUAACUGUUGACAUCGUGACGGUAUCCAACCAGAAAGCCACGGCUAACUACGUGCCAGCAGCCGCGGUAAUACGUAGGUGGCAAGCGUUGUCCGGAUUUAUUGGGCGUAAAGCGAGCGCAGGCGGUUUUUUAGGUCUGAUGUGGAAGCCUUCGGCUUAACCGGAGAAGUGCAUCGGAAACCGGGAGACUUGAGUGCAGAAGAGGACAGUGGAACUCCAUGUGUAGCGGUGAAAUGCGUAGAUAUAUGGAAGAACACCAGUGGCGAAGGCGGCUGUCUGGUCUGCAACUGACGCUGAGGCUCGAAAGCAUGGGUAGCGAACAGGAUUAGAUACCCUGGUAGUCCAUGCCGUAAACGAUGAGUGCUAAGUGUUUGGAGGGUUUCCGCCCUUCAGUGCUGCAGCUAACGCAUUAAGCACUCCGCCUGGGGAGUACGACCGCAAGGUUGAAACUCAAAGGAAUUGACGGGGGCCCGCACAAGCGGUGGAGCAUGUGGUUUAAUUCGAUGCUACGCGAAGAACCUUACCAGGUCUUGACAUCUUCUGCUAACCUAAGAGAUUAGGCGUUCCCUUCGGGGACGGAAUGACAGGUGGUGCAUGGU